rnacentral:lncRNA from 1 species
AGUAAUACAGGCAAAGAGUAAUACAGACAGGGAAGAGUAAUACAGACAGGCGAAGAGUAAUACAGACAGGCGAAGUGUAAUACAGACAGGCAAAGAGUAGUACAGACAGGGAAGAGUAAUACAGAGAGGCGAAGAGUAAUACAGACAGGGAAGAGUAAUACAGACAGGCGAGUAAUACAGACAGGGAAGAGUAAUACAGACAGGCGAAGAGUAAUACGGGGAAGACUAAUACAGACAGGGAAGAGUGAUACAGACAGGGAAGACUAAUACUGACAGGGGAAGAGUAAUACAGACAGGGGAAGAGUAAUACUGACGGGGAAGAGUAAUACAAGCGAAGAGUAAUA